UUUCCACACAUCCCAGAAAAAAGAGAAAGUAUGAUGACUCAAAUAACCACUCGUUCUGUCAACUAAAAACAGGAAACGCAGGCUCUGAAACACAGGGGCUCACCAAAAUUGGAGUUCAGGCUGGUGGUGGUGGUGUAGUGGUAUGGAGAGUAUUUUCUCGGCACCUUGUGUUCGAACAGCCCAGCCUACCUGAGUGUUGUUGCUGACCGUGUCCAUCCCUUUACAACCACAGCGUGUCCAUGUUCUGAUAGCUGCCUUUAGCCACAUCACAAAGCUCAAACUGUCUCAAAGCUGGUUCCUCGAACAUGACCGUGAGUUCACUGUACUCAAAUGAUCUCCACAGUCAUCAAAUCUCAAUCCAGUAAACUCCUUUGAGCUGUGUGCUGCUGAUGUGGAGCUGACAAAUCUGCAGCAACUGCCAGAUGCAUGAUGUCAAUGUGGACCAAACUGUGCAGCUAUUAGAGAGGCAGAACGGUGGCGUGGUGGUUCGCACGGUUACCUCACAGGAAGAGGGUCCUGAGUCCACCAUGAGGCCAGGGUGUUUCUGUGUGGAGUUUGCAUGUUCUCCCUGUGUUUGUUUGGGUUCUCUCUGGGUGCUCUGGCUUGAUCCAAAUGUCCAAAAACGUGGGGUUAGUUUUAUUGGAAACUCUAAAUUGCACAUAGGCGCGAAUGGUUGUCUGUGUUAGCCUUGCAGCGUGUCCAGGGUGUACCCUGCCUCUCGCCCUAAGACAGCCGGGAUAGGCUCCAGCAACCCUGAAAAAGGAUAAGCAGGAAUGGGUGAUGAAAUCAUCAAAAUGUUGUUUUUGUUAUUUAGAAAUAUAUUCUUCUUCUUGUUGUCCUAACGUCCUUGGGCAUAGUGAACUCUGGCACAUCUUUACUCUGAAACACUCGUCGAACUCGUCACACAUUCAAACUAAACUAAUUAGUUGUGUUUUGUUGCCUGAUCCCCAAAUUCCUUCAUUUCAAAACCUCUCGUGUUGCCUUUGUAUUACUUUCAAUUAAAUAUAGAUAUUAAACGAAGAACAAGGAAUUGCAUUGUAUUUGAUAAUUUGCACAGCAUUCUGACGUUGUUGGAAAUUGAGUUGUAAUAACGUGUUUGCUCACAUGUAGCUGAUGAUGACUUUGCUGUAGACGUAGACUGUUUAAAACUACUGCCAAAUAGCAGCAAAUAUUACAAACCUUUAAAAAAUAUAUAUAUCUAAGCAUCUUAAGAUGAAGACAUCUGAAAAGCUUAAGCAGUUUAACAUAUACAUUUGUACGAAGCCUUAGAAAACAUAUCAUAAGCCAUCAGGUGGAGAUAUAACAUACUGGUACAAUACCAGUGCAUCAGGUCCCUUGAUUCUGUGCUUUAGUUCUGAUCUUGAGGAUAGCAUCAACCCCUCAAAAAGCUGAACCUAUUCUGCCACGUUGGAACAGGAUGUGUUUUAUCUCUGAUAUUCCUAGCAGUGACUUAGUGCUGUCACUGGUAGUUUAGUACUGUACACAAGAACAACCGCAUAGAGGCAGUAUUAGUGUUUAGUUAAACUGUGUGCAAAAUUUACAUGGGGUUAAAAAAACAUAAAAGCACAGACAGAGCUUUUUUCAGUGUUCUUUAAAAAGUGGGGUUAGAGACAGUGUCUUUAUAUUUACAGCAAAAAGUCUGACAUUUAGAAUCUGUUAAAUCUAGAACGAGGGUGUGACAGGUGUCGGCAGAAGCGAGGCUCCCUGCUUUUUUUUUUAUUUCAAUUUUUUGCUAAAGACGGCGGUUCAUUUCCUGCUUCCCUGUUUCACAACAGGUUGUUUUGUGUCAGCUGCUUACAAAAUGACACAGUUUGAAAUAUAUGUAAACAUAUAUUCUGCUCAAGGUGUCAAAAGAUUUCAUUUUUCUUUUACAAACAACUAAAACAGGUCUGUUGUUGUGUUCGUCUCUCUUUCUCUGUUAUGUAUCCUCCUUUGAUUGUCCUUUUUUUCUGGGCUCAGUUUUCCUCUUACUCUUUGCUUUGCCCUCCUAUGCCACCUGUCGUUGUUGAGACUACUGCUGUGCGUAACUUGUCAGGUGUUGGAUAUUAUUUAUGACCUUGUCUUGUGUCCCAACUGUGAAACGCCUGAUAAAACAUCUAUAUCUGCCACUAAUACAUAA
ensembl:lncRNA